UCUGCUCCUGUAGCACAUAGGGCAGCAAAAACUUAAUCAUUUUUGGGUGACUAAAGUGGAGAUCUGUCAGUGGUUUUACAGAGGGACUGGAUAUCAACUCCUACCUAAAAAUCUGAGAUCAGAAAGAGAAUUGGCCAUAACGAUCAAAGGAACUCUGAACCUCCUCUUUCAAGGGGAGUCAGUGCCUACCCUUGUGAUGAUUUCCUUAUUCAGAGGGAGCUACUUUCUCUGAUUUCAUGUGCUCAAUAGGGAGAAAACAACACUUUUUAAAGGCAGGAAAAUGUGAUUCUGAAACCACAAACACUUGCAAAAGACGGCUUUAAAACCCUGCGACAGAAUGAGAACUGAGAGCUGAAGCAGCACGCUGAGAACAAGCAUCCCUCUGACACCGCGUCUCGGCCGGAACCGGAGCACCCAGCCUCCCAUACCUGAUG